rnacentral:rRNA from 1 species
GAUGAACGCUGGCGGCGUGCCUAAUACAUGCAAGUAGAACGCUGAAGGAGGAGCUUGCUCUUCUGGAUGAGUUGUGAACGGGUGAGUAACGCGUAGGUAACCUGCCUGGUAGCGGGGGAUAACUAUUGGAAACGAUAGCUAAUACCGCAUGACAACAGUUAUUGCAUGAUAACUGUUUAAAAGGGGCAACUGCUCCACUACCAGAUGGACCUGCGUUGUAUUAGCUAGUUGGUGAGGUAACGGCUCACCAAGGCGACGAUACAUAGCCGACCUUAGAGGGUGAUCGGCCACACUGGGACUGAGACACGGCCCAGACUCCUACGGGAGGCAGCAGUAGGGAAUCUUCGGCAAUGGACGGAAGUCUGACCGAGCAACGCCGCGUGAGUGAAGAAGGUUUUCGGAUCGUAAAGCUCUGUUGUAAGAGAAGAACGAGUGUGAGAGUGGAAAGUUCACACUGUGACGGUAUCUUACCAGAAAGGGACGGCUAACUACGUG